GAGUUUGAUCCUGGCUCAGGAUGAACGCUGGCGGCGUGCUUAACACAUGCAAGUUGAACGGACUCAUAUUGAAACCUAGUGAUGUAUGAGUUAGUGGCGGACGGGUGAGUAACGCGUGGAGAACCUGCCGUAUACUGGGGGAUAACACUUAGAAAUAGGUGCUAAUACCGCAUAAGCGCACAGCUUCGCAUGAAGCAGUGUGAAAAACUCCGGUGGUAUGAGAUGGACCCGCGUCUGAUUAGCUAGUUGGUGAGGUAACGGCCCACCAAGGCGACGAUCAGUAGCCGGCCUGAGAGGGCGACCGGCCACAUUGGGACUGAGACACGGCCCAAACUCCUACGGGAGGCAGCAGUGGGGAAUAUUGCACAAUGGGGGAAACCCUGAUGCAGCGACGCCGCGUGAGUGAAGAAGUAUUUCGGUAUGUAAAGCUCUAUCAGCAGGGAAGAAGAAAGACGGUACCUGACUAAGAAGCCCCGGCUAACUACGUGCCAGCAGCCGCGGUAAUACGUA
rnacentral:rRNA from 1 species